ACUUGGCUACUGAGUCCCAAAUAGGACGAAACGCGCGUCCUGGAU
rfam:Schistosoma haematobium scaffold22_3, whole genome shotgun sequence.